rnacentral:rRNA from 1 species
UACGUAGGGUGCAAGCGUUGCCCGGAUUUAUUGGGCGUAAAGGGCGCGUAGGCGGCUCUGCACGUUCGUUGUGAAAUCGCCCGGCUCAACUGGGCGGGGUCAGCGGAUACGGCAGAGCUUGAGCAAGCUAGGGGGCAAUGGAAUUCCCGGUGUAGAGGUGAAAUUCGUAGAUAUCAAGCGGAACACCGGUGGCGAAGGCGGCCUUCUGGACAGUGACUGACGCUGAGAUGCGAAAGCGUGGGGAGCAAACAGG